rnacentral:rRNA from 1 species
AACGCUAGCUACAGGCUUAACACAUGCAAGUCGAGGGGAAACGAUAUUGGAAGCUUGCUUCCGAUAGGCGUCGACCGGCGCACGGGUGAGUAACGCGUAUCCAACCUGCCCACCACUUGGGGAUAACCUUGCGAAAGUAAGACUAAUACCCAAUGACGUCUCUAGAAGACAUCUGAAAGAGAUUAAAGAUUUAUCGGUGAUGGAUGGGGAUGCGUCUGAUUAGCUUGUUGGUGGGGUAACGGCCCACCAAGGCGACGAUCAGUAGGGGUUCUGAGAGGAAGGUCCCCCACAUUGGAACUGAGACACGGUCCAAACUCCUACGGGAGGCAGCAGUGAGGAAUAUUGGUCAAUGGACGAGAGUCUGAACCAGCCAAGUAGCGUGCAGGAUGACGGCCCUAUGGGUUGUAAACUGCUUUUAUAAGGGAAUAAAGUGAGCCUCGUGAGGCUUUUUGCAUGUACCUUAUGAAUAAGGACCGGCUAAUUCCGUGCCAGCAGCCGCGGUAAUACGGAAGGUCCGGGCGUUAUCCGGAUUUAUUGGGUUUAAAGGGAGCGUAGGCCGGAGAUUAAGCGUGUUGUGAAAUGUAGAUGCUCAACAUCUGCACUGCAGCGCGAACUGGUUUCCUUGAGUACGCACAAAGUGGGCGGAAUUCGUGGUGUAGCGGUGAAAUGCUUAGAUAUCACGAAGAACUCCGAUUG